rnacentral:rRNA from 1 species
CAGCAGUAGCCGCGGUAAUACAGAGGGUGCGAGCGUUAAUCGGAUUUACUGGGCGUAAAGCGUGCGUAGGCGGCUUUUUAAGUCGGAUGUGAAAUCCCUGAGCUUAACUUAGGAAUUGCAUUCGAUACUGGGAAGCUAGAGUAUGGGAGAGGAUGGUAGAAUUCCAGGUGUAGCGGUGAAAUGCGUAGAGAUCUGGAGGAAUACCGGUGGCGAAGGCGGCCCCCUGGACAAAGACUGACGCUCAGGUGCGAAAGCGUGGGGAGCAAACAGGAUUAGAUACCCGCGUAGUCCCUGUCUCUUAUAC